GAGACAGCAGUCGCCACGGGAACACAGAGGGUGCGAGCGUUAAUCGGAUUUACUGGGCGUAAAGCGUGCGUAGGCGGCUUCUUAAGUCGGAUGUGAAAUCCCUGAGCUUAACUUAGGAAUUGCAUUCGAUACUGGGAAGCUAGAGUAUGGGAGAGGAUGGUAGAAUUCCAGGUGUAGCGGUGAAAUGCGUAGAGAUCUGGAGGAAUACCGAUGGCGAAGGCAGCCAUCUGGCCUAAUACUGACGCUGAGGUACGAAAGCAUGGGGAGCAAACAGGAUUAGAUACCCCAGUAGUCCCUGUCUCUUAUAC
rnacentral:rRNA from 1 species